rnacentral:tRNA from 1 species
GGGGGUGUAGCUCAGAUGGUAGAGCGCUCGCUUAGCAUGCGAGGUAAAGGGAUCGAUACCCUUCUCCUCCA